CAAUUCCUCAGCCCCGAUCUUCUCUUCUCUUUCCGUUGCUCGAUCCCCUCCGCUAAUCUCCUCCUAGGGUUCGUCGCCGCCUCCCUUCCCGCUGCAACCCUCCCGUGCACUUCCUCUGGUCGCAACCUCCUUACGUUGUCCUCCACGACAGGUUCGGGCGGAGGCCGUCCCACACCCGCCCUCCUCAUCGAGCCGCCGCUGCCGUGCCUCCUCCCCCACGUCCAUCUCCGCACGGGCAGCCUUGCCGCCACCCCCGCCUGGCCUCCUUCCCUUUUUUCUCCCCAUCUCGGCCUGUACCUUCGUCAUCCGCUCCAGGAGGGGGCUGUUGCCUCUGCACACCAUCGCUUCGGUCCGUGGGAGGCCGCCGCAGGGCGGGAUCUAGCCGCCGCACCCACAACUAAGUUUCCUCCCAUCCCCGAUUUCAUUCGUCCAUGUGCUCUCCUCCCAUGGCGGUGCCCUAAUAGCCCAAGGGAUAGCAGCUGGCUCGUCGUGGUUUUUCUCCGACGAGGCUCCUCACGUAUGGCAGCGGCAGACGGCAGUUGGAUUGUAGUCCAAAUCCAGCAGCUAGCAAGGCUUCUUGAUUUUUGUCCGAGUGCUUCUGCUAUGAUAUCCAGCUUCCAUCUGAAUUUUCAUGAGACGCGCUGUGUAGCUAUGACCAUGAGCUAUUUUAAAUUAGUUAUUCUGGAGAAAAUUUCAGUUCGUUAGUGAUUACUUGCAGCAAAUUUAUUCAAUGGUUGGAUGGAUCUCUGAGUUCAGUCCGUCUAAUGGAAGUAUGGAACUUGAAAUUGUGCAGGAUGAGCUCGGGUUUGACAUCGUGCAGGGGCAAGCAAUGUGUUCAAGAAAAUGCUUGUGAAGAAAUAUGAACGUGGUUGUGUCAGGUUAAAAGUAUCUAACUUAUCCAUCUGUCAUUUCAAACUUCUACAGAAUAUCUGGAAGAAUAAAUUUUGAGCUGGCAGAAUUUACGUCUCUUCCAGUAGUUUUUUUUAUUCAACAUGUAAUCCUAAUUUCUUGAAAGCAUGCAUUUUGCAUAUUUUACCUCUCUUCCAGUAGAGGAUUCUCAGUAGUGUUCCCAUUUGUAUCUUGAAGCUUGUAUAAUGGUGAUCUAUGUGUGUGCCUCGCUGUCUAACCAUGGCACGGGCCGGGCUCAAGCCGGAGCGGGUAGAAGGAGCUCCGCCUCCUUGCCGCCAACGGCAGGAACAACAAGGGAUCAAUUUCGACGAGUUUACCUACCGCAGAUAGGAGGACAACCAAAUGGCAUUAAUAAUAGGCAUUCAGUCAAUAAGAGAGAAAAUUAUUUCCGCACUUCAAUCGUUCAACUCAUUCCUUUUGGUAUUGUCCUCAAUAGUGUUCACAAGGUUACCAAAGUGCUUGUAUCGGGAUAAUGGUUUUCUGGAUAUCUGGAACACAUUGAUUUUUGUUGCUGAACUUUCCUGUACCAUAUGUUAGUUGGUUCUAUCACUGGUUGCCAUGCUAUACCCAGAAGUCCAGAACCAAUGAUAGCAUAUUAGGAGCUCUCCUAGCUCAACACCGGGUGCAUGUUAUCUUAACAGUGAGGGUGAGAAUUAUCAUUGAGGUCUGUGUCAAAGUGUCCACUAAAGGCAAUAUCACCUUAGCUUGUUCCAGGAUCAAGAAAGUUGCAGCUUGUGGGUAUGUGUUCCUUUCUGCAUUUCUGAAGAUUUUUGUUGUAGCAGAAGCUAAUGGACAUUUGGUGAAGUUUAUGGGUCAUGAGAUGGAUGGAUCCAUGGUCAUCAAGAAUCACUGGGUAUCAUCAAAUGUGUUUUUACAUCAGACCGGGCAAGGCAUGUGAUGGGGAAUUGGGAGGAGACUAGCAGCUUCUACUGAGUGCGCCUUCUGUUCUGCCUUCUGCACUUUUAGGAAACUAAUCUUUUUGGAGGCCUGCAAGUCUUUACUUCAAUUUAAGUUACUUCUCGACUAUUAUCUUGAUAGAUUUUUUGAAUCCCAAGAAUCAUUUAUGCCAUAUGAUAAUACGUUCAAGAUAUAACCAAAGAUUUACUCCUAAAUAUAAAAGAGUGGUCCCUUGCUCCUCGCAUCCUUUUGUGAUAAAAAAAACACUCCUUGUCUCUUUCUAAUGGAAGCAAUUAAAUAUAAUGUGAAAAACUAAAAUGUUGGUAAUGUUUGUCACCGAAAUUAGGAUAAAUUUACUAGCAAGUGUCGUGACUAUAUAAUAGUGGUUUUAGUCUAAUUUAUCUAUAGCGAGUAGUCAAAUUUGUUUUAACCAUAGCAGCUCAAAUGUAAAUGUAAUAUUGAAGAAAUUAUGAUUUUCUUGCGAGGAUAUUAUUUGAAAAGUAUGCCAAACUGUUCGCGAACCACAAAUGACUUUAUCAUCAAUUUAUUUCGUGGGAACGAAGCAUGUCUUCCAUUUUUUUAAAUAAUAUUAAGGUGAUUUGGAGUGUCAUUAGUCAACCAUACAUAUGACUUUACUGGAAAAAAAUCAACAUACAAAAUGUUCUUUUGUAGAAACGCACGGGCACUCCACUAGUUUAUUACUAUCUAUUAAAUUAGAGUUGGUGGUGAUGGUUGGGCGUCAUUGGCCGGUCAAUUUUGUUAAAAUUAUAACCAAUAUAUCACUGUCCCUUAUUUUCUUUCCCUACCGCUUUAUUCACGAUUUCUUUUUCUCUGUCUUACGACCGACGCCACCAUGCCCGCAUCCCACAGUCAGAUCUUUUGCUUUUUUGUGGGAUUUUUAGGAUCCUAUCUUUUUUCUGAUUGUUCCGUCAUGUACUUUUAAAUCCGUCAUGUACUUUUAAUAUAUAAUAGAUUUUUUAAGAUUCUAUCUUUUUUCUGGUUGCUCUGUCAUGAACUUUUAAUAUAUAAUAGAUUUGAGUAAGGUGACAUUGACAUGGGACGGAGGGCGUGGAGCAUUGGAUGCAUUUGUAUGGACGGUGUAAAUCGGACGGAUUUGACACAGCUGUUGCUUAACUUCUGCUUGGUUCAGGACAAAUGCAUUGCU